UAAUUACGAAAACACUGAUUUCGAUAAUGCCAUUAUAAAAUUGGCCCGAGAAAAAGAAAUCAAGCGGCAAACGUUGCUGGAACUGCUCGAUUAAAUUCAAUCUGGGUCUGGCAAAAUCACAGAGAUUUUCCAGGAAGAGAUGAUUAAAAUGGUUGGAAUCAACAUUUUUCCGUCCCUACCUCCGGCGUCUCAUGAAAAUACAGGGCAAGGUGCCUCGGAUCCUGAAGAAGAGGAACCCUAUUUGGAUCCUACGUGGCCACAUUUACAGAUUGUAUACGAGCUUCUCUUGAGAUAUGUUGUGUCCUCGGAUAUCGAUACUAAAGUUGCAAAGAAAUACAUUGAUCAUUCCUUCAUUUUGAAGUUGCUUGAUUUGUUUGAUUUGGAGGAUCCCGGGGAAAGGGAGUUUUUGAAAACGAUUCUUCAUACGAUUUAUGGUAAAUUCAUGGUGCAUCGAUCAUUUAUUAGGAAGGCGACAAAUAAUAUCUUCUAUAGGUUUAUAUAUGAAACAGAGAGGCAUAGUGGGAUCGGGGAGCUUCUGGAGAUUCUGGGGAGCAUCAUAAAUGGGUUCGCAUUGCCUAUGAAAGAGGAACAUAAGUUGUUCCUUGUGAGAGCGUUGAUUCCUUUGCAUAAGCCGAAACCUAUUGCCAUGUAUCAUCAGCAAUUGUCUUAUUGUAUUAUACAGUUUGUUGAGAAGGAUUGUAAGCUAGCUGAUACGGUUAUUAAAGGGUUGUUGAAGUAUUGGCCUUUGACUAAUUGUCAGAAGGAAGUUCUCUUCCUCCGGGAACUUGAGGAAGUACUUGAAGCAACACAGUUUGCUGAGUUCCAACGAUGUAUGGUUCAGCUUUUCAGACAGAUUGCACGUUGCCUCAAUAGCUUACAUUUCCAGGUUGCAGAAAGAGCCCUUUUCUUGUGGAAUAAUGAACACACUGUGAACUUAUUUGCCCUGAAUCGGCAGGUAAUAUUACCAAUCAUAUUUGAGGCGUUGGAGAGGAAUAUCCGCAGUCAUUGGAAUCAGGCAGUUCAUGGGUUGACCAUGAAUGUGCGGAAGAUGUUCAUGGAAAUGGAUGCUAAUUUGUUUGAUGAGUGUCAGAAAGAGUUUGCAGAGAAAGAAGCCAGAACCCAAGAGGUGGAAGAGCAAAGAGAAAUGACAUGGAAAAACUGGCAGAUGUGGCAGCGGAGAGAGGAAACAAUAUGGUAACAGUGUAACCGAUUAAUGAAGUAAUUCGUUUUGGGAUAGUGGCUCUGCUGCAGUUCCCUUCUCCAUUUUGGUGAGGAAGGCAUGUUGAAGAAAGGUCCAUGGAGAACCUCAGCUGGAAAAACAAUUCCUAAAAUCCAUAGAGGCCAUUGUGGAAGCGGCAGGACCCGAAUGCAUUGUGCCAGCCCUGAUUACACCUCUUAGAUUACUUGGUCUCAAGGUGUGCCGAUUGACGUUAACAUGAAAUAUUUGGAACCAGUCAAUAAAUAAGUAAAGCUUGGAAAGGUGAAAAACCAUAGUUUUAGAUACCGAGAGAGUAAUCUGUAUGACAUUGCAUGAUCAGUUUGAGCAAAUAUGAAGUGAGUGGAGGUAGAAGGUUGGCCACCGUCCUAAAGGGGUUUGUGAGAGAGGCCUAUGGCUAUGGUGACUAAGAUGCUGCCACCCUCUAUUUUCAACAUAUAAUUAAUGUGGUGAAUGUGAUCAAGUAUUUAUUGGUCGGCCAAUAUUGUUUUCUUCAUCCAUAGAAUUGCCUCAUCAGUCAAUCUCCGUUUAAUACAUUAUCACUAAGAUAGGCGGCUAAGAUAGCCACCCAAGGGGGGGCCUUUUAGAGUAAAGGGGCAUUUUCCAUGAUUAGGAUUAGGAAGGCUCCUAUGUCCUCCUAUCUUAUGCUGGCCUGGUUAUAGACAAAGUUUAUUUAAUGCUAUCACAAAUCAUGUACCAAUCUAAAUUGAUGUUAUUUCAAAUUAUAAAGUCAGAAGUUUUCCUUUAAUCAAA